GGACUACUGGGGUAUCUAAUCCUGUUCGCUCCCCGCACUUUCGCGCCUCAGCGUCAGUCUCCGGCCAGAAGCCUGCCUUCGCCAUCGGUGUUCUUCCUGAUAUCUACAGAUUUCACCCCUACACCAGGAAUUCCGGCUUCCCUUCCAAAACUCAAGCAAAACAGUUUCCAACGCAGUCCCGCAGUUAAGCUGCGGGCUUUCACGCCGGACUUGCUUCGCCGCCUACGCGCCCUUUACGCCCAAUAAUUCCGAACAACGCUCGCCCCUUACGUGUUACCGCGGCUGCUGGCAC
rnacentral:rRNA from 1 species